AACGAACGCUGGCGGCAUGCCUAACACAUGCAAGUCGAACGAGACCUUCGGGUCUAGUGGCGCACGGGUGCGUAACGCGUGGGGACCUGCCCUUAGGUUCGGAAUACCUCCCCGAAAGGGGUGCUAAUACCGGAUAAUGUCUUCGGACCAACGAUUUAUCGCCUUUGGAUGGGCCCGCGUUGGAUUAGCUAGUUGGUAGGGUAAAAGCCUACCAAGGCGACGAUCCAUAGCUGGUCUGAGAGGAUGAUCAGCCACACUGGGACUGAGACACGGCCCAGACUCCGACGGGAGGCAGCAGUGGGGAAUAUUGGACAAGGGGCGAAAGCCUGAUCCAGCAAUGCCGCGUGAGUGAUGAAGGCCUUAGGGUUGUAAAGCUCUUUUACCCGGGAUGAUAAUGACAGUACCGGGAGAAUAAGCUCCGGCUAACUCCGUG
rnacentral:rRNA from 1 species